GACCGGACAGCUGAAAACAUUGGCAAACCACUACAGCUUUUCCCUCCUCUCUUUCAGCAGUCACCCAACAGCCAGCCAGACAUGGGCUGCUGCUUCAGCGGGUCUGAGGGGGAAGGAGAGGGGGACACGAAGCACGGGGAGGACAGCGGCUGUAAGACGUGCUGUCUGAAGACCAGGAACUGCGUGAUGAGUGGAGAGUGUGGGCGGGCUCUUCAGAUUGCCAACGUCUGUGCCAUGUGUGGAAUGUGCAUCCGCAUGUUUGUCUAGCUGUGACUCCAUGAGGUCAGACCUGCUCUCAUUCCCAUGGCAGCUGUACAGAGAGCUGUGAACAAUAGGACCGGUAUACCACUCUCCCAUGGGUGGAUCACCUGGGAUCCAGCCAUCUAGCAAGACACACACCCUGGACCCGCCCUGUGCCUUUA